rnacentral:rRNA from 1 species
CGAUCUCAAAUCAAGUAAGACUACCC